GAUGAACGCUCGCUACAGGCUUAACACAUGCAAGUCGCGUGGCAGCAUGGGGGUUGCUUGCAAUCCCCGAUGGCGACCGGCGCACGGGUGAGUAACGCGUAUCCAACCUGCCCUUCACCACGGGAUAACCCGGCGAAAGUCGGACUAAUACCGUAUGUUGUCCAUUGACGGCAUCCGAUUUGGACGAAAGGUUUGGCGGUGAAGGAUGGGGAUGCGUCCGAUUAGCUGGACGGCGGGGUGACGGCCCACCGUGGCGACGAUCGGUAGGGGUUCUGAGAGGAAGGUCCCCCACACUGGAACUGAGACACGGUCCAGACUCCUACGGGAGGCAGCAGUGAGGAAUAUUGGUCAAUGGGCGUAAGCCUGAACCAGCCAAGUAGCGUGCAGGAUGACGGCCCUAUGGGUUGUAAACUGCUUUUAUGCGGGGAUAAAGUGGCCCACGUGUGGGUUUUUGCAGGGACCGCAUGAAUAAGGACCGGCUAAUUCCGU
rnacentral:rRNA from 1 species